rnacentral:rRNA from 1 species
GGCUCAGGACGAACGCUGGCGGCGCGCCUAACACAUGCAAGUCGAACGGGACUAUCUCGGAAGAAGUUUUCGGAUGGAUUUUGGGAUAGUUUAGUGGCGGACGGGUGAGUAACACGUGAGCAACCUGCCUUCGAGAGGGGAAUAACGGCUGGAAACGGUCGCUAAUACCGCAUAACGUACGGAUGGGACAUCCUGUUUGUACCAAAGAUUUAUCGCUCGAAGAUGGGCUCGCGUCCGAUUAGGUAGUUGGUGAGGUAACGGCCCACCAAGCCGACGAUCGGUAGCCGGACUGAGAGGUUGAACGGCCACAUUGGGACUGAGACACGGCCCAGACUCCUACGGGAGGCAGCAGUGGGGGAUAUUGCACAAUGGGGGAAACCCUGAUGCAGCGACGCCGCGUGUGGGAAGACGGUCUUCUGGAUUGUAAACCACUGUCCCCAGGGACGAAAAUGACGGUACCUGGGGAGGAAGCUCCGGCUAACUACGUGCCAGCAGCCGCGGUAAUACGUAG